rnacentral:rRNA from 1 species
UACAGAGGGUGCAAGCGUUUGUUCGGAAUUACUGGGCGUAAAGCGCGUGUAGGCGGCGGCGUAAGUCGGGUGUGAAAUCCCUCAGCUCAACUGAGGAAGUGCACUCGAUACUGCGUCGCUUGAAUGUCGGAGGGGAUGGCGGAAUUCCCGGUGUAGAGGUGAAAUUCGUAGAUAUCGGGAGGAACACCUGUGGCGAAGGCGGCCAUCUGGACGACGAUUGACGCUGAGACGCGAAAGCGUGGGUAGCAAACAGG